UGGUUCUCUGAAAUCCAAAGCAGAAUACAUCUAAUACAGGAAAAUAAGUGAUUGUUGAAGCAAAACAAGGGAAAAAAUGUCAUUUGCUAGGACAUAAGUAAAAAAUGUAAUGUUAGUGAGUUAUUUUUCAGUACUCUAAAAACAAAAGCAUUAAAUUAUUCUCUAUGGUCUCGGGAAUGGUAAUUUGUAAAGGCAACCAUAAAGUACCAGGACUGGCUUUUUAAGAAACAUAAAAGAAUUUAUAUAUUCAAAUGAGAAUAGUAUUUCAAGGUCAUUACCUUGAAGAUCUAUACACAUAAUAAUAAUAUUACCACUAAUUGAAUGUCUGCUCUUUCAGGAAUUUUAGGAAUGUAGCUAAGAGAAAACAACAUGACUUUAACUGCUGACCACCAAGUUCUUCUCAGAACCAGCCUCCCUGAGCAUAACAAGAAUGUCCUUGGGAGUGAGAAGAAAAGAGAGAAAGAAAACAUACCCAAGAAGUUAAAUAAUGUUCCAGAUGCAGCAGAAAAUUUUCUGUUUCGUAGUCAACAAAUUGGCUUGAAAUGUUUGCAUCAAAAUAACCCAUAGAAUAUUUGUCACACAGAUAUUUAAAUGGAAUCGGAGCUGUACAUAACCAAUGCACAAUACUUUGUCAAAAAAGAACAAAGUUAAUCAGGAGAUAUCAUUACUUACGGUAUGUGGAAGAUAAUGAUAAUAACACAGAAUUUGGUUGGACAACAUCGGCAGAGACUCAGUUUCAUCUAGAGAACACCUGAGAAAUAAUGGAAACUCACUCUAGUCUUGCCUGGAAUCAGGCACCAUGUUUAUUGGUGCUUGCAUGUGGAUUCAUUACAGGGGUUUCAAUUUAGGUAGGGAAUAUUGGAUAAACAUUUUUGACAGUCAUUAUAGUGAGUGACUCUUAUGAAACUGAGAGAUCAGAUAGCAAGAAAAAUCAGUGAUCCUGCCCUUAGCUUAAAAAAAAAAAAUCAAAUAGUGCAAUAAUAUAAAGACUGUGCUGUACCUUCAUUUGUUUCCUUAGUCAUCAAUAAAUGUCAGUACUGAAAGAAACUUCCUCGGCCUUAUUUUAUGGCCACCAAGCACUCCACUGAGUAGAUAAACCAUAAUUUAAUAAAAUAGACCCCUUUUGAUAGACAUUUGGGUUAUUUUUUAAUAUUUUACUAUAAGAAAAAUUGUCGCAUAAAUAACUGUACAUACGCCUUUUCAUAUGCAUGAAGUUCUGUCUAUAGAGAAGAAGAGAGUAUUAGGUCAAAUGACAUGACCGCUUGCAAUUUUGAUAGCAUUGCUAGUUUGU